rnacentral:rRNA from 1 species
GCCGCGGUAAAUUGACCGUGAAAAGGUAGCAUAAUCAUUAGUCUCUUAAUUGGAGGCUCGUAUGAACGGUUGGAUGAGGGACAAUCUGUCUUCUUUUUAAAUUCUGAAUUUAACUUUUAAGUGAAAAGGCUUAAAUCAAUUGGUGGGACGAUAAGACCCUAUAAAACUUUAUAUAGUUCUUAUUUAGUACAGGAAAAGUUUAAACUUACUUUAUUUUUUCUAUAUUUUGUUGGGGAGAUAUUUAUAUAAUUUGUAACUGUUAGUAAAAUGAAAUAAUUAUCAUUAGUUGUUUGAUCCUUUAAUAUAGAUUAUAAGAUUAAGUUACUUUAGGGAUAACAGCGUAAUUUUUUUUGAGAGUCCAUAUCGACAAAAUCAGUUGCGACCUCGAUGUUGAAUUAAAAUUUCAGGAAGGUGUAGUCUUUUUCCUAGUGGGUCUGUUCGACCUUUAAAAUU